rnacentral:rRNA from 1 species
GUAUUUUAAGAGCGUAUGGUGGAUGCCUUGGCACCAAGAGGCGAAGAAGGACGUGGCGUGACUGCGAUAAGCGCCGGGGAGGUGUCUAGCGACCUUCGAUCCGGCGAUGUCCGAAUGGGGAAACCCAAUCUCGCAAACCGAGAUUGUCCUUGACGUAAAGUCGAGGAAGCGAACCCGCUGAAGUGAAACAUCUCAGUAAGCGGAGGAAAAGAGAAAGAAUUUUAUUCCCCCAGUAGCGGCGAGCGAAAAGGGAGAAGCCCAAACCCACGCGUGUUUUGUUUUUAACAGGACGCGUUUGGGGGUAGUAAGAAAACAGCGUCCAGGCGCGAGCUUGGAGGGAGUUUAAAAAAAUGAAACUUCGUUAGUCGAAUGGCCCUGGAAAGGCCAAUCAAAGAGGGUAAUAGUCCCGUAGACGAAAACGGUUUCAUGUUCCUUGUUGUUUAUCUUGAGUAACCCGGGGAAAGACUGCCCUGGGCGAAGCAUCCCUGACUACAGGGAAAGGCUAAAUACUACUUGGUGACCGAUAGUGAACAAGUACCGUGAGGGAAAGGUGAAAAGCAGCCCGGUGAGGGCGGUGAAAUAGUACCUGAAACCAUAUGCUUACAUAGAGCGGGAGCCUUUGACGCAAGUUGAGGGUGACCGCGUGCCUAUUGAAGAAUGAGCCAACGACUUUGAAUGCAUAGCAGUCUAAGUCCUUAUAAGGGACGGAGGCAAAGCGAAAGCGAGUGCGAAAAGCGCGCCUGUUCCGCUUUCAGCGGAACAAAUGCUGUGUGUUUAAGACCCGAAGCCAGGCGAGCUUACCAUGGUCAGGACGAAGGUCGCCGAAAGGCGACUGGAGGUCCGAACUCAUACGCUGUGCAAUACGUUGGGAUGAACUGUGGUAAGAAGUGAAAAGCUAAUCGAGCCUGGGAAUAGCUGGUUCUCUCCGAAACAGUUUUAGGACUGGCGUCCUUUAUUAAUUUCGCGGGGGUAGAGCACUGGAUGGUAAUCAUUGGGAGAAAUCUCGGAUAACCAAUCAAACUCCGAAUACCGUGAAUGAGAAGGAUAGUUAGACCAUGGGGGCGAAGCUCCAUCGGUCAAAAGGGAAACAGCCCAGCCCAAAAUUUAAGGUCCCUAAAUUAAAGCUAAGUGCAAGCAAGGAAGUGGAAUUUCUUAAACAUCUAGGAGGUUGGCUUAGAAGCAGCCAUCCUUUAAAGAGUGCGUAACAGCUCACUAGUCGAGAGAUUCCGCGCCGAAAAUUUAUCGGGGCUAAGCUUUAUACCGAAAAUUUGGAUGAGCGUUCAAUACGUUGAGCGCUCGUGGUAGGAGAGCAUUCUUUACGCAGCGAAGUUGAGGGCGCGAGCCCCAAUGGAGCGUAAGGAAGAGAGAAUGUUGGCAUGAGUAACCGCAAGUCCGACGAGAACUCGGACCACCGAAAACCUAAGGUUUCCUUGGCAAUGUCAAUCAUCCAAGGGUUAGUCGGUCCUAAGGCAAUGGCGAAAGCCGCAGCUGAUGGACAGCCGGUUAAUAUUCCGGCACUUCUUUGUUUUUUCAAGAGAAUGACGAAAAGUACUAAAUCGAGCGUAUUAUUGGAUUUAUGUUUCUUCGCCCGCGAGGGCGCGGGAAAAUUAUUCCUUCGGGAAUGAAAUUCGAUGAAAAUUUUUCCGAGAAAAGUUCUUAAGAGCUAAAAACAAAGAAACCGUACCGUAAACCGACACAGGUAGGUAAGGCGAGAAGCCUAAGGUGAACAGGUGAUUCCUCGUUAAGGAACUCGGCAAAAAAGCUACCCGUAAGUUCGCAAGAUGGGUUCCCAGCAUAUAACUUGUUAUGUGCUGGGCGCAGUUAAAGUGUCUCUAGCGACUGUUUAUCAAAAACACAAGUCCCUGCUAACUCGCAAGAGGAUGUAUAGGGGCUGACACCUGUCCAGUGUUGGAACGUUAACGGCGAAGGUCUUGGAUUUUAAGAUUAUAUCAAAAGAUUUAAGGCUCGAGCCCGAAGCGCCAAUGAACGACCGCGAUAACUAUAAUCGUGUUAAAGUAGCGUAACCCCUUGCCAGGUAAGUUCUGGCCCGCAUGAAAGGUGUAACGACUGGAGAACUGUCUCAACGAGGAGCCUGGUGAAAAUGCAAUUCCGGUGAAGACGCCGGGUACCUGCGACUAGACGAAAAGACCCCGGGAGCUUUACUGUAGCUUGGUAUUGGCUUUUUGUUUUGAAUGCGUAGCAUAGGAGGGAGACUUUGAAGUUCCGUUUUCGGACGGAAUGGAGUCGUCAGUGAAAUACCUCUCUUUCAAGGCUUUAAGUCUAACCUUUGACGCCAAACGUCAGAGAGACAGUGCCUGGUGGGCAGUUUAAGUGGGGCACUUUCCUCCCAAAAAGUAAUGGAGGAGUUUAUUAAGGUCGGCUAACUCCGGAUGGAAAUCGGAGUGAUAGGGCAAACCCAUAAGCCGGCUUAACUGCGAGGCGCGCAUGCCGAGCAGGUGCGAAAGCAGAAGUUAGUGAACCGACCGUACUUCGUAGGAAGGCGGAAGAUCAUCGGCCAAAAGCUACCCCGGGGAUAACAGGCUGGUACCGCCCAAGAGUUCAUAUCGACGGCGGUGUUCGGCACCUCGAUGUCGGCUCCGCGCAUCCUGGCGGUGGAGAAGCCGCCAAGGGUUGGGCUGUUCGCCCAUUAAAGCGCGACGCGAGCUGGGUUCAAACCGUCGUGAGACAGGUUGGACUCCUAUCUGUCGCAGGCGUCGAUACUUGAGGGGAGCUGCUCCUAGUAAGAAAUUGCUACUUUCGCCAGUAAUGGCGAUUGAUAAUUCGGCUAAUAACGGUGGAAUCUUAAUAAAUUUGGUCUGUUGAUAACUAUAGUUGUUGCGGUCCAAUAAUUAUAGUACAAUUAAUUGAGGACCAAAGUAAUUAAUUAAGACAAUACCGUGGGAAGUCGAUCUAAAAUUAAUUUAGCAUAUAUUGCUGGUUUUCUUGAUGGCGACGGCAGUUUAAUGAUGCAAAUUAAGAAACGUAAAGACGGAAAUAAAUCUGGAAAACGUUUCAUGUUGACUAUUUGUUUUUAUCAAGAUUCACGUCAUGACAAAACUUUGUCGUGGAUCCGAAAUUUACUUGGCAUAGGUUAUAUUUCAAAACGAAAUGAUGGCAUAACUGAACUGCGAAUUAACGGAUUUAAACAAAUAGAAAAAAUACUAAAGAAUUUACUGCCAUUUAUUAAAUUUAAGAAAAUACAAGCAAAUCUUCUUUUCGAAUCUUCAAAAAUUCUUCAAAAAAAGCAUAGUUUAAAAAAUACUGAUUUAAGAAAAUUGGUAAAUAAUAUUUAUCGAAUUCAAUCAGAAAAUUAUGCAACGAAGAAAAAGAAAACAAAAGAAGAAUUGUUUAAAAUUUUAGAUUUGACCCCGUAACGACUGGAUUCUUUAAGUAAGACUUUUUACUUAAAGAUGAAGAUAAUAUCAAUAAUUUGAUAUUAUAAUACGCCGACCCCCGCUAAAAGCAGGGUGAAGAUAUAGUCUACACUUCUAGCGAUAGAAGAAUUAUGUGACGAGAGGACCGGAGUGGACCAACCUCUGGUGUGCCAGUUGACCCGCCAGGGUCAUUGCUGGGUAGCUAUGUUGGGACGGGAUAAGCGCUGAAAGCAUAUAAGCGCGAAGCCCACCUCAAGAUCAGGUAUCUUAGAUUCGUGGAAGAUGACCACGUUGAUAGGCUGCAGGUGUAAGCGUCGUAAGGCGUUUAGCCGAGCAGUACUAAUAAAUC